GACGAACGCUGGCGGCGUGCUUAACACAUGCAAGUCGAGCGGUAAGGCCCUUUCGGGGGUACACGAGCGGCGAACGGGUGAGUAACACGUGGGUGACCUGCCCUCAGCUCUGGGAUAAGCCUGGGAAACCGGGUCUAAUACUGGAUAUGACUCCAUGACGCAUGUUGUGGGGUGGAAAGCCUUGUGCGGCUGAGGAUGGGCCCGCGGCCUAUCAGCUUGUUGGUGGGGUGANGGCCUACCAAGGCGACGACGGGUAGCCGGCCUGAGAGGCGACCGGCCACACUGGGACUGAGACACGGCCCAGACUCCUACGGGAGGCAGCAGUGGGGAAUCUUGCGCAAUGGGCGAAAGCCUGACGCAGCGACGCCGCGUGAGGGAUGAC
rnacentral:rRNA from 1 species